ACGAACCAAGACCUGUACAAGCUGUGAUCCGCCCUCCAGUGGUAUUCACGAACUUCACAGAGGCACGUAGCACACACACUGACACUGUAAUUACGUAUUAUUCGUUUGGCUACUUACGGAUUCCACGUUACACCAGUGUGUCUGCGAUGAGUUUAAAAAGCCGGUUCGCAGCGUGGGAGCUUCCACGUGUUGUAGUUUUUUUUAGAGAAAACUAGUUCCUGUGAGAGAUGUUGAAGCCUCCAGCUGAUGAAUGAAGUGACGGCGGAGCGAUUUCAUUUAGCCCGUCCAACGGGUUCCUGCUGCUUUCAAAUGCUCCUCUGCUGUCGGACAUUACACAACUCUGUGUGAUUUCAACUCGAAAACAACAAAACAACAAGCUCUGAUCUUCCCCAUUUACAUUACUACAAGCUCACGUCACUGAUGUUUCUGCUGCCGGUGACUGAGAGAAAAACUACAUCAUCAUCCUGAGUAAUAUUACUAAUACAGCACUGGGCUGGUGCAACACUUGUGACUUUAACAACUGAAGACGCUGCCAACGCGGUAAUUUGACCUGAAAUUGGUCAUUUCUACGGUGGCCCUGAAAUGCAAAUUAAAAAAACAAAUUACACAGAAGUGCUGUAUAAAUAAAGUUGAUUAUCAUUACC